CUAAAACAUAUUGCUUUUGUUUAUGCAGCAUUAACAGAAUUAAAACUGUUGUGCUAUUACAUUAUAUUAUGGCUUCUUGCAAAACAGCUCAUGUCUGUCUCAACACUGGACUCAUGGUUUGGCAUCAAAUCAUACAAUGAGACAGACACUCACCGGGAAUUGGCACUGAAUCUCAUUGUUGAACAGAUGUUUCAUCGCCAUGCUAGGUGACAUCAUCAGUGGAGCCUCCGA